GACGAACGCUGGCGGCGUGCUUAACACAUGCAAGUCGAACGGAAAGGCCCUGCGUUUGUGGGCUUCUCGAGUGGCGAACGGGUGAGUAACACGUGAGUAACCUGCCCUUGACUUUGGGAUAACUUCAGGAAACUGGGGCUAAUACCGGAUAGGAGCUCCUGCUGCAUGGUGGGGGUUGGAAAGUUUCGGCGGUUGGGGAUGGACUCGCGGCUUAUCAGCUUGUUGGUGGGGUAGUGGCUUACCAAGGCUUUGACGGGUAGCCGGCCUGAGAGGGUGACCGGCCACCUUGGGACUGAGAGACGGCCCAGACUCCUACGGGAGGCAGCAGUGGGGAAUAUUGCACAGUGGGCGGAAGCCUGAUGCAGCAACGUCGCGUGCGGGAUGACGGCCUUCGGGUUGUAAACCGCUUUCGCCUGUGACGAAGCGUGAGUGACGGUAAUGGGUAAAGAAGCACCGGCUAACUACGUG
rnacentral:rRNA from 1 species